ACUCAAAUGAAUAGACGGGGGCUCGCACAAGUGGUGGAGCAUGCGGUUUAAUUCGAUGCUACGCGAAAAACCUUACCAACCCUUGACAUGGUGAUCGUAGGCUAUAGAGAUAUAGCUGUCAGUUCGGCUGGAUCACACACAGGUGUUGCAUGGCUGUCGUCAGCUCGUGUCGUGAGAUGUUGGGUUAAGUCCCGCAACGAGCGCAACCCUCAUUCUUAUUUGCCAGCGGUUCGGCCGGGAACUAUAAGGAAACUGCCGGUGAUAAACCGGAGGAAGGUGGGGACGAUGUCAAGUCAUCAUGGCCCUUACGGGUUGGGCUACACGCGUGCUACAAUGGUACUUACAGAGGGGCGCAAUACGGCGACGUGGAGCUAAUCCCUAAAAAGUAUCUCAGUUCGGAUUGUUCUCUGCAACUCGAGAGCAUGAAGUCGGAAUCACUAGUAAUCGCGGAUCAGCAUGCCGCGGUGAAUACGUUCUCGGGCCUUGUACACACCGCCCGU
rnacentral:rRNA from 1 species